UACAGAGGUGGCAAGCGUUGUUCGGAUUCACUGGGCGUAAAGGGUGCGUAGGCGGUCGGGUAAGUCUGACGUGAAAUCUCCGGGCCUAACCCGGAAACUGCGUCGGAUACUAUCCGGCUAGAGGAUUGGAUGGGAGACUGGAAUACUUGGUGUAGCAGUGAAAUGCGUAGAUAUCAAGAGGAACACCUGAGGUGAAGACGGGUUGCUAGGCUGACACUGACGCUGAGGCGCGAAAGCCAGGGGAGCAAACGGG
rnacentral:rRNA from 1 species